GAGGGGCUAGCUCAGUUGGUAGAGCACGAGACUUCAAAUCUCAGGGUUGUGGGUUCAAGCCAUAAACAUAUUUCC